rnacentral:rRNA from 1 species
GACGUAGGGGCCGAGCGUUGUCCGGAAUUACUGGGCGUAAAGCGCGCGCAGGCGGAUUGUCGCAUCAUCGGUGAAAGCCCCCCGCUCAACGGGGGAGGGUCCGGUGCGAUGGGCAGUCUGGAGGCAGGGAGAGGCGAGUGGAAUUCCGGGUGUAGUGGUGAAAUGCGUAGAGAUCCGGAGGAACACCAGUGGCGAAGGCGGCUCGCUGGACCUGACCUGACGCUGAGGCGCGAAGGCGUGGGGAGCGAACGGG